rnacentral:lncRNA from 1 species
CCCUUUUGUCAUUUUGUCUAUUAUUGUAAUGUAGUAUAAAUAGAACAUUGUAGAGUUUAUUUCUUUAGUUGAUCAUUAUUAUUGAAGAAUACUUCUCUUAGAGUGAGAGAGAGUCCAAUUGAAACUAGGGCAUAACAUAAGGGUAGAUUCUCUUGUGUGUUACAUUUUGCUUGAUACGUUGGUGCUUUGGUGGUGGACGCAUCUCUUGUGUCAAUUGUAA